AAUGUUUUAAGUUAACUAAACUAUUAGCCUUCAAAGCUGAAUUUAAGAAUAAUAAUUUUUUAAACAUUA
rnacentral:tRNA from 1 species